rnacentral:tRNA from 1 species
ACCUGGCUAGCUCAGUCGGUAGAGUAUGGGACUCUCAAUCCCAGGGUCGUGGGUUCAAGCCCCACAUUGAGUU